rnacentral:lncRNA from 1 species
CCUUUAUUUUGUGUUAUGCCGAAAUCGUUGCUUUGUUUAUGUGCAUUUGAGUAGCCAUGAUCUGUAGGUUUAUGUGGAUGUUCUGCCAGUAGACUUUCUUUCUAAAUUCAUGGAAGCAGAGAUUCACAAGCUAUACUCAACAUGGAAAAAGGCCUAGACCUAGAUUCAACUAUAUGUUGCUCACCUAGCCGUUGACAUAAUCCUUGGCAAUCAUUUUUUUCUUCACCAUCUUGAUGAACCUUCUGUUACAACCUCUCUUUAUCUUGUCCUCAAUUGAAUCCACACCAAACUUCCUAUGAUUGCAUUUUCUAUCCCUUCUUACAUUGUUGCUCACCAUCUUAACAUCUACAUCUACAAAUUUAGGGAACAGGGAGGUGAGCAUUUCCACAUUGCUCAAUAGGGUUCCUUGCAUUUCAGGGGUAUAAAAAAUAAAUAAUCAUACCUAAAGAAAUAAAAUGAAAUAACCUAAGCAUGCAUAAAUAAAUAUUUCAGUUUCAAUUUAACAUAUAACAUAUAUAUUAUUGCUAAAAAUGCAAAUGAAAAUGAACACAUGCACUCACACAAUGCACCAUAAUUCUCAAGCUUUCACCAAAUUGUAUGUCUAUAUCCAAAUACACUCCUCACUCAGUCUUCUUGAGGUAAAUUUUUGUGUCUUUCACACCAAAGAUCCCCCUCUUCUUAAUUCACCCUCUAUAGGAUCUUUUCAUUUUCUCAAUUUCUUUUCUUUUCAUUUCCGAUUCACACAAUAUAAUAUUUUACGUUCAACAUUGAAAUCUCAACAAUCAAUUCUACAAUGCCAAUUUAUUUUAUUCACAACAAUUCUAACUCAACAAGUUAUUCCAUAAAAUAGAAUGUUUAUGAACAAAAUCCCAAGACGCUUAUUCUGAAAAUUAGUCUUUGCAACAACUAUAAAAUCACAUUGAUAAAAUCUAAAACAAAACCAACUUAUAUCUUAAAUGGAAGAAUAAGGAGUACAAGAUAAAGGCAAAAAAUAGAAGUUCCCAUAAAACCACCAACACUUCAAGCACAAGCCACUUUACCAAACCCGAAUAUUGGAUAAUUAGUUUCAAAAACAAAGUUCACCGCUAUGUUCCUUGUGUUGAGAUAAGUAUUCUCUCAAAAUUUCACAAGAACCCAAGCAGGAUACACUUUCAAAGUUGUUAGUCUUUCACUUUGAGAAACCCACAUGAUCUUAGCAGCUUAUGCUUUUAUUUAUUUUUUCAAAACCACUUUGCAAAGGAGGAGAUUAUCUCUCUUUGUUGUCUUUCAAAGUUGUUGUCUUUCACUUUGAGAAACCCAUGUGAGCUUAGCAACUUAUGCUCUUAUUUUAUUUUUUCAAAACCACUUUGCAAAGGAGGAGGAGACUAUCUCUCUUUGCCCUCCUCUCUCUCUCUCUCUUCCAAUUAGGUGCAUGUGCCACUCUUAUGCCCAUUACUUCUCUUACUCCAACGAAAAAAAGAACUAAUAUCAUUCAUGAAUGAAUUCAUUAAUCCCACAUGCAAAGUCUCAAUGCCUUAUAUAUUUAAUCUAAAAUUGUGAUGGGGGACUACAUACAUUCCCAAAAGCUUAAGCUAAUGAGGGGUAGAGGUAGCCCCAAAUAUUAGGCCCAACUAACAUUGGUAAUCAGUCAAUGUGGGACAAUGGACUUUUGUUCGUCCUAUGCCAAGUUCCCACCAUUCCCUCCAACCACUUUAAUCUAUACCCUCCAUUUAUAUGCUUCAACAUUACGUACAAAAUCAAAUCCCCAUAAUUUAAUCUCUACUCAUGUAUCAUAUAACUAAUCAGCUUUUAUAAUUUUUCUCAAACUUAAGCUCCACUAUAUCAUUCUCCAAUAACUUCCUUCCACGAUAUCAUCCCACCAUGUGUCCGAUCAAGAUUUUUAGUAUCAAUUCCACAAUUAUAAUCACCUAAGCAAUAUGAAAAUUAGCUAUGAAUUAAGCAUGAAGCACCCAAGUUCAAUUCUUCACAAUUCAAAUCUUAAUUGUUUAAUAUGAUCCCAAUUUAACUUCAGUUAAAUCUCAAUCUUACUUUAGAUGAACGAUAUUGAGUUGAUUAAAUCUCAACUUCAGUAUCCUUGAUUCAUGUGAUGUAACUAAAUUCUCAAGCAAUCGAUUGUAUCAUAAUGACAUGUUGCAAAUUCAACCCAAAUUAGUUGACGAAAAAUCUAGCAAAUCACCCAAUCUGAAGUGGACACAUGUACUCUCACUAUAGUUUUCUCACUCAUUCAAUUGACAGUAAAAUUUUUCAGAUAAUGCAUUAUUCAGAUAUUACAACUAAACCUUCCAAUCAAAGAAUCCUCACCUAGGGUUAUGUAUAUGCAUAUUAUUGAAUUAUUUGUUAUAAGAGGUUACUAGGAGUCGGGGAUGGUUACUAGGAGUCUCUUGCAGGAGUCAAGUCUAAUGAUUUAACCCCCACUUGGAAAGGGUAAGAAAUAGGUAUUCAUUGAUGUACUGUUCCUGUCUUUAGUUUAGGUUUAUUAUGGUAGUUAUAAGUUCUGUAUCUUUAUCAGUUAAUUUGGUAUCAUUUAUUAAUUGCAGAUUUUAAAUUCUUUACUUACUAAAUAGUUUGAUUCAUUUCAGUUGUAAAAUUUUUUAUGAUACCUGACAACUGUUUACUUCAAGAAAUUUGAUAUUUAAAUUUUUCACCCACUAAAAUUCAUUGCUUCUCUUUUGUACUUGAUCUUCAAUUUUUAAACACCUACUAGAUAAUGCUUGGGAACUUCAGUUUCUUGUCAUUUAAAUAGUCCAUGGAAACAAGGUUAUGGGUUUUAGGGUUGUUGUUUUUUAAACCAUAGCAACAUAAUUUUUUUUGCUUUCUCAUAAUCAUGCACACAAGAAUUUCUUUAGUAUGAACAGAGAUGAUCAUCUGGUCUAUGGUGAAAGAACACCAUCACAAGUUUUAGAAGGUGGUGUAAAAUAGUUGUUGAGAGGAAUUUAUAUUGAUGGUUGUUAAUUAGGAAACAUAUGUGUGCUAGUUAACUUUGAAGAGGAGGUACUUCUGUUAGUUGAUCAUCAUUAGUGUUUAGUUAAAGGUGGAAGAGAAAAAAAGGAACAGAAAGCUAAUCUCCUUUUUUUGAUAGGUAAGGGAAUGUAUAUUAAAAUUAGAGAAAGUAGCCAAGUACACCAGCGUACACAGGAUGUAUACAAUGAGCACCUUAGGCAAGCCCUCCAAAAAGAGCAUUAAAAAAAAAAACCACUCUAUUCCUCAACAAGACCCCACCCACUCUACAAAUCAAACUAGGUCAUUGAGUCUUCCCUUAAAUACAUGCUAACCCAAGAAGAGGGAUUACAAAAAAAUGAAAGUUUUAAUCAUUGGUCAUUGUGUUCCUUAUCUUCAAAAGCUCUUUGAUUUUGUUCCCUCAAGAUUGUUUGAAAAAUGCAAAGUGGAGUAGCGUUCCACACCUUUUUCCUUUUGUUCCCAAGAAAGGAGCCUUGCCAACUUAAGAACAGAACCCUCACUAAAGAAAGGAUCAUCCACGCCACCCUAAAUAAGGAAAACAAACUUUAAAGGAAUGAAGAAGCAAUUGAUUAAUAGACUCCCCCUCAUGCUUACACAGAUAACAUAUAUUUACCAAGGGUUGCCCUCUCUUUUGGAGAUUAUCUAAAGUUAGCAUUCUUCCUUAACUAGCUUCCCAUGCAAAAAAGCUGACUUCGGGUGGUACCAACAGAUUCCAAAUAAUGUUCUUUGGAAAGAUGAUCACCCUCCCCACAUCCAAAACCUCAUAGAAAGAUUUGAUAGAAAACAAUCCCCUCUUAUCGUCUUUCCAUACCACCUUGUCAUUAUCGCCCUUCCUGACCAAAUUCCCUGUCAACCUGGAGAAAAAAGUCUCAAUGAUGUCCAGCUCCCAAUUAUUAAAGUGCCUAGUAAAGCGUAGGGUCCAAUGCCCCAUUCCUCCUGUGUCAUCCCAAUAAUAUGCCACCCAAGCCUCCUUGGAGGCCACCAAAGUAUACAAAAAAGGGAAAGACAAGCACAAGGGCUCCUCCCCACUCCAUUUAUAUCUGUCAAGAACUUUACCCUUCUUCCAUUACCCACUUCAAAGGAGGUUUUACUGAAGAAAAGAUCCCACCCCUUCCUAAUAGCUCUCUAAACACCAACCCCAUACCCACCUCUAACUUCACAAGAAUGCCAACCCACUCCUUCUUUCCCAUAUUUCCUCUCAAUAAUUUGCUUCCACAAAACAUUCCCAUUAGAGACAUAUCUCCAACACCACUUACCAAGAAGGGCCCAAUUCAAGAGAGAGACUUAUAAUUUCCAGCCCCUUCCCCCCCACCCCACCCACCCACACACACACACACACAUUUUUCUCUUCUUUGUGCAAAUAAUCAACCAACUAACAAAAUGAGGCUUUCUCCAAAGCCCCACCUCCCCAGAGAAAGUCCCUUUAAAUCUUCCUUAAUUUCAAUCUAACCCUUCUAGGGAUGACAAACAAAGACAUAAUAUUGGCAAAUUCGAUAAAGUACUUCUAAUCAAAGUAAAUCUCCCCCCUUUAGAAAUGUAUUGUCUUUUCCAUAACGACAAUUUUCUGCGAAACUUUUCUUCCACAACAUCCCAUACUGUUUCAGAUCUACAAGAGGCUCCUAAAGGUAAUCAUAAGUGGAAGGGAGUUUCCUACUUAUAUAUAAAAAAAAAAAAAAGUGAAGGGAGUUUCCCCACCUUGUAGCCCAAUUCUGUAGCUAGACUUUCUACAUUUGUAACCCUUCCAAUUGGAAUCAAUUCGCUUUUAUCCAGAUUGAUUUGGAGUUUGAUAAUGCCUCAAACCACAUGAGCAACCAAUUCAAAUACCUACUGCUAGGAAUCCUCACAGAAGACCAAAGUAUUGUUUGCAAAUAAGAAAUGGGGCACCACCACCCCUUCUCUCCCUUCACAACUCUCUCACCUUGAAACUAGACAAGUAGCCCCCCUCUUGGGCUCUCUCCAACAAGCAGCUCAAAACCUCUAUAGCAGAAACAAAUAGACAAAAGGGAUAGAGGAUCCCCUUGUCUCAACCCCUUCGAACUCUGAAAGAAACAAGGAGUUCCAUUAACCAACACUGAAAACCUUCUUGUGGAAAUGCACCAUUGAAUCCAUCUAAUCCAUUUAUGGUUAAAAUCCAUUUUUUCCACAACUACAAACAUAAAAGCCCAAUUGACAUCAUGACCGUAUGCUUUUUCUAUGUCCAACUUGCAAAUGACACCACUGGAGCCAACCUUCAAGCUUGAAUUAGUUGCUUCCUUCGCUACAAGGGAUGCAUCUAAAAUCUGUCUCCCCUUUACAAAGGUGUUUUGAAACUUAGAAACCACUUUUUCCAUCACUUUCUUUAAUCUACUUGUUAACACUUUCACCAAAAGUUUAUAAAGACUUCCCCUCAAAUUUAUAGAUCUAAAAUCUUUCAAAUACUCUACACCCUACUUCUUUGGGAUUAAAGCUAAAAAUGUAGCAUUUAAACUUCUUUCAAACUUGUCAUUGGCAAAAAAAUCCGAAAAGAACCCCAUUGGCUCAUCCUUAACGAAAUCCUAACUAAAUUGCCAAAAGGUCAUAGUGUAGCCAUUAGGGCUAGGAGCUUUAUCCCCACUUAAAUCAGAUAAGGCAACACUUCCUCCUUUGAAAAAGCCCCCUCCAAGCCCAAAGCCUCCUGCUAAUCCAAAGUAUUGAAAUAUAUGCCACUAAUGCUUGGCCUCCAAUCACCAGAAUCAGACAAAAGAUGGUGAAAAGCCCGUGUCAUUCCUUGCUUAACUUCAGAUUCCUCUGUAAGCCACUCCCUGUCCACCUCGAUCUUGGUCAAAAAAUUCCUCUACCUAUGAGCAUUAGCCAUUUCGUGGAAAAACUUGGUGUUCUUAUCCCCCUCCUUCAACCAAGUCUCCCUAGACUUUUGCCUCCAUGAAACCUCCUCAAAAAGGGCCCAUUUGUGAAACUCUUCUUUUGCUGCCUGUCUAGAUACCUCCUCCUCCAGCAGUAGAGGAGAUUCCAUCUCUUUAGAGUCCCAGAAUCCCACCUGCUUCAAAGCCAACUCCUUUUGGAUAUCUACAUGACCAAAAACUAACCUCCUUAAUAUUUCUAUUCCUAAGCCAUCGACAAAAUUGAUAACAGAAAGAUUAGCAUUCAUCAUCAUCCCAUUUGAGCACAAGGACAAGGCUUUUCUAAAAACAAAUUUUUCACAAAUAUAACACCUAUUCCUCAAAGGUUCUUCUAUUGCAUUAUUUUCAAAUAGACCAAAAGAUUCAAUAUUUAAGGUUUAAACUACCAUGCAAUUAUCACUCAUAAGAACACCAUGCAAUUAAGCAACACCUCUCUAGGCUAUUGGAGGAGAACCCAUGACACAAAAAAAUGGAGAAAAACAAGUAUCACAAACCGGAAACCCGCGAUGAAUAUGAGCAUGCUCCGCACGCUUAUGAUUUUGUUACAAACCUGGAGUCUUGGCAAAGCCAACCCAAUAAUCUUUGCCUCUUGGUGUACUACUAAAUUAGCCAACACUAGUUAAUGAUCUUUAAAUUGCUCUCUCCAUGAAAACUUGCUCCAAUGGAGCUGACAACUGAAAACUCAUGUUCAGGAAGAAACCAUUCCAUUGCUUCCUAAUGGCUUUUCCACGACCUCAAAACAAUUGGCUACUUUAGUCACCUUUUUUUUUCUUUUUUUUUUUAACCGUGAAUGUCCGGGCCGGCUUACGCACACCUCGACUAAUCCCACGAGGCCCUGAAGUUAACAACCGGGUAAACCUCCAGUGGUCUUAAGGGGACUCGAAUUAGUGACCAUUGCGGAGCAAACCCAAAGCCGGACCAACUGAGCUACCCCUCAGGGUUGGCUUCUUUAGUCACUCUAAAGCUUCGUCUUCUUUGCAUCUCCAUGGAUUUCCUCACAGUUGCCUAUCUCCAUAAACUAUGGUGAUUUACUUCACUGUGAAAAUUUAAAGCCUCUUUCCCAGCAAGGCCUUACUUUUUUUUGAUAGUUAUAUAUAUAUAUUAAUAGGUUUCCCAGCAAGGCCUUGUUGAGAGCCUCAAGACAUCUAAUGCCCAAGUACCCUAUAGCCUUCUCUGAACAGACUGUUUACUGCCUCACCAAAUGAUCUUUUUGUUAAAAUGCAGUCCCUUUGAAUCUUUUUUAAUCUGUCCUUUACCUUCUGAGGAAUUGCUGGAGGCAGCAAAAAGCAUGAUCAUAAACUGGAGAAGAUGCUCUUUCAAAAGGAUAAGUGUACAACCGUUAGUGCAAAUAUUUUUUUCUUCCAUGUAAUUGAACCUCCCCUUAACUGAGGACCAAACAGAGGACUUGAAAGACACACCCAAGGGUAAUCCCAAAUACUUGGCAGGGAGUGUUCAAUCCACGUGGAAGCCCAAUUGCUUAGCCCCUUAACUCUCCCUGCCGGAAUGAAACAGUGGAACCUUUUAUAGUGAUCACAUUUGGCUUCUAUCUAGAUUCUCUGCUUAGUUUUUCUGAUUCAUAUCCUUAGAGCACUUUGGAAUUCUGGAGUUGCUUUGAAUUUUUUGGGGAAUAGUUCGAGGAAGAUUUUAAGUUGUCAGUGAAAGAAAAUGUGUUCUAGAAAAAUAAGCAUAUGUUGUCAUUUUAGGAUUAUUAUAAUCUUGAGGAUUCUGCUUUCUACUGAUGUUUAAGAUUUUUCCAACAUAAGUCCUUGAGGCCUGAUGAGGAAGGCAUUGGGGUAGGGGAUGUUGGAAGGUCUAGGGUUGAGUUCCAGCAAGAACCAGAGAAAAAAAAAGGUUACUUUCCCAAUGUAAUUCAAGAUUUUGCAUAUAGUUGAGGAGAUAUUUGUGGUAUUGGUUAUUCACAAUAGAUUCACUAUUGAAGUAAUAUGGUGGAAAUCCUAGCUAUGUCAGGUUCAAGAUAAGCUAUGCCCUGUGCAAACUAGGAAAAUGAUAUGAAAAAUUCAGAGGAGUUUCUUGCUUUCUUGCUUUUGUGUGGGCUCCCAGCUAAUAGUUUGGGAUUGAAGAAAGUUUUUACCAGCUGAUACAAGCAGUACUAAUUUUCAAAAUGCUUGGUUUAUUGUUAUAAAGUGUAUAAUUAACUAGCAUGAUUUAACAGGAAAGGGAAGCUAAUUUUCUUCCUUUUAUGCAUUAAAACGACUUGGAAUUAUUUGAGUUCUCUUGAUAUGUCAAAGCUGUUUUGGCUGGUUUUGAAUAAAAUUUUUACAGAAAGAGGGAUAAUAAUGGUUUGCAUUUCAUUUAUUUUCCUUCUUUUAUCUUUAAUAAGACUUUUGUGGUUACCUAUGCCUGAGAACUUGCAUUAUAUUUUUUAUUGUUGCUACUGAUUUCUCGAAGUUUUUAUUUUUAAUUUUUGUCUUUUUGUUCUGAUGUGUAUAUUUGAUGACAAUGAAGGGAGAUUGCCAAACAUCUCUCUCUUCC